GAGUUUGAUCUGGCUCAGAUUGAACGCUGGCGGCAUGCCUUACACAUGCAAGUCGAACGGCAGCACGGGAGCUUGCUCCUGGUGGCGAGUGGCGAACGGGUGAGUAAUGCAUCGGAACGUAUCCUGGAGUGGGGGAUAACGUAGCGAAAGUUACGCUAAUACCGCAUAUUCUGUGAGCAGGAAAGCGGGGGACCUUCGGGCCUCGCGCUCUUGGAGCGGCCGAUGUCGGAUUAGCUAGUUGGUGAGGUAAAGGCUCACCAAGGCGACGAUCCGUAGCAGGUCUGAGAGGAUGAUCUGCCACACUGGAACUGAGACACGGUCCAGACUCCUACGGGAGGCAGCAGUGGGGAAUUUUGGACAAUGGGGGCAACCCUGAUCCAGCCAUGCCGCGUGAGUGAAGAAGGCCUCGGUUGUAAGUACGUCUUUCGUCGAGGG
rnacentral:rRNA from 1 species